UUCUCUUUUCUUUUCUUUGUUUUCGGUUGGUCCAAAAGAGGGAACCUCCAGGUCACUCUCCUCUCUCUCACCUCAUUCCCGGAAAAAGAACCCUAAGGACUCCCCACAAAAACCCUAGCCGCAACUCUCCUCCGGCGGCCCUGAGCUCCCUUCCCCCCAGCUCACGUUUUCCUCAGGGAGAAUGCCCAUCCUCAGCUCCCACAGCUCACCUCUUAGCUCGCCCUCACACUCUCCCUAAGCUCCGUCCCAUUCCCAACAAGCCCUCAGCUGAGUUGCCCCCACCUCCUCUCUGACUCCCUCAGCUCCUCACACCUUCAGCUCCCAGUAAAAGCCCUCAGCUGCGGAUCCUCUCCGAUCCCCCCAUGUCCUCAGCUCGACCUCCUCCCGUUUAUCUCUUUCCUACUGUGUUGCCGCCCCUUUUCCUCCUUGUUGCAGGUUCUUCCCGAGCCUCCUCGACUCGUCCGCCCGCUGUCCAGUCCCUUCUCCAGCUUGUGGAGCUGUUCGGCUGCUCCCGCUCCCCUCCCCUUUCCCUUGUAGUUGCUGCAGGUUACUGGCUGUUACUCGACCCCUUUGAAGAUGCUGUCCCUGGUUGCUGUGCUCACAACAGUAGUACAGUCCCGACCCCCUUCAUGUGGCUCUGAUGGUUAAAGAGGACUUGGUGAGCUUCUCCAUCCUGAAACUAACUGGUCACAUUGGUUGUGUUGUCGGAGAUUUCGUUGAUCGAUUUCGGAUAUGUUUUACUUGAUUUCCAUGGUCUUAGAUUGUGUUUGAGUUUAUGGCUGAGACGUAUGAUGUUUGAUCGACUGAUCUCGAAUUGAUAUAGCAGGUUUUAACGGUUAUAAUUCCGUUUAAUAUAUGGGUUGAGUUGAACAAUGCAUUUUUGAUCCAUUUGAGCUCGCUUUGGCAUGAUUUAGACAACUUUAAGUCGUGUUUAUGAGGUAGACUGAAUUGUGUGGUAAUUUAUUACUUUGUUCAAGACGGUUGGACAUGAUUUUGACUUGUUGCAAUGGUCUGACACGUAGUUGAGCUGUGGAGUAUUCAUCUGGGUGAUUUAAGAGAAUUUAGUUAGAUAUUGAUUGCUUGAACUUGAACUCUAGGUACAAACUGAAUUUCUCAUUAAUUAGUUGGUCGACUUGGAAUGAUUUGGCAUGAGUUCGAUUACCUGGUGUUGUGUUCGGUAGCGUGGCUUAUUGGAAUGGUAACAGAAAACCGACUUCUUGCUUGAUAUUAAGUAUGGAUGCCUCUAGAUGACGAUCCCUUGUAUGUAGGUCUCUUUGAAGUCAAAUAUAAACGAUGUACACAUUCUGGUUGGUCUUGAUUUGCAGCCUUAGAAACUCGUUUUGAUCAUCCUCUUGCCAUAGGAUGGGUCUUCCCCGUGUCUAGAUGCCCUGGGGUCACUUUCCCUUACUUUCUAUGCCAUUUUGGGCAUUAUAAAGUCAAGAUAUGAGUUUUUUUUUUAAUUCGUGACCAGAAUCUAAUUCGAAGUCGUGGAGCUCACUUUAUCAAACUUAUCCUUCUAGAUCCUAUUCAUGGCUCGUAUGUUUGCCCUUGCCCCGAUUCUCCCGUGUUUGUUUCUUGUCUUGCAUGUCUCACGAGAGGAGAAGAAAGGGGAGAUAUAAGAAGAUAUUUGGCCAAUGCCAAUGGAGCUCCAAGACGACGUGGAGACUUACCUAGGCUUAGGUUGAGUCCCGACUUGAAGGCCGCCCCUGUCCGUGGUAGUCAAGGAUCUUCCGAGCUAGCUCAUCCUGAGAAUCUCUUGGGAUCGGCGCAGAAAUCAACACACAUUCGCCAAGUACCAUCUUUCUUUGGCACCAGCAACACCGGGACCGCACAAGGACUCAUGCUCUCACGCACAUGCCCUUUAGCUAAAAGCUCAUCCACUUGCCUUUGAAGUUCCUUUGUCUCCUCCGAAUUACUUCGAUAAGCUGGCCGGUUCGGAAUCACGACUCCUGGCACAAAGUCGAUUUGAUGCUCUAUUCCCCUUAUUGGUGGCAAACGAUUGGGUAACUCCCUAGGAAAGACAUCUCCAAACUCCUGCAAAAGAGAGGUAACAGAACUUGGCAAAGAAGAAUUAAGGUCAGAGAAAUAAGCCUCCUUGUAAACGAACAAGAUCACUGGGCAAUUAACUUUAAAUGCACUCUUGAUCUCUCUUUC